UACAGAGGGGGCAAGCGUUGUUCGGAAUUACUGGGCGUAAAGGGCGCGUAGGCGGCCUGCUAAGUCGAACGUGAAAUCCCUGGGCUCAACCCAGGAACUGCGUCCGAUACUGGCAGGCUUGAAUCCGGGAGAGGGAUGCGGAAUUCCAGGUGUAGCGGUGAAAUGCGUAGAUAUCGGGAGGAACACCAGAGGCGAAGGCGGCUUCCUGGACCGGUCCUGACACUGAGGAGCGAAAGCGUGGGGAGCGAUCCGG
rnacentral:rRNA from 1 species